rnacentral:tRNA from 1 species
UCCCUGGUGGCUCAGAUGGUAAAGAAUCCGCCUGCAAUGCGGGAGACCCAGGUUUGAUCCCUGGCUUGGGAA